GCUGGCUGUUGCUCUGGUGGGCAGAGCUCAGUAAAACUUCAAUCCACUUGUCUGCUGAUAGGUGGGGCUGGCUUCCCUCCCUGUUGUUUGUUUGGCCUGAGGCGACCCAACACUGGAGCCUACCCGGGCUCUUUCGUGGGGCUAAUGGUAGACUUCAGGAGGCCUCAUGCCAAGGAGUACUUCCCAGAACUGCUGCCAGUGUCCUUGUCCUCACGGUGAGACACAGCCACCCCCCACCUCUGCAGGAGACCCUCCAACACUCGCAGCUUCUCCUUUGUCUUUGGAUGUGGGGUAUCUUUUUUGGUGAGUUCCAGUGUCUUCCUGUCGAUGAUUGUUCAGCAGUUAAUUGUAAUUCUUGUGCUCUCGCAAGAGAGAUUGAGAGCACGUCCCUCUACUCUGCCAUCUUGAACCAAAAACCUCAACAUUUCUAAAAUUAAGAAAACAGCUGAUCACUUUCGCUUGUGGAAACCACCGGGCUCUGGUUCCUGCCCCUUCAUUUUGUCCUGGUUGUCUGUGGAGACUCAGAGGAUGUUGAUACGGCACCUCAACUAUGGAGGCGAAGAGAACGUGCCAGAAGGUCCUCUUCCUCUUGUGCCAGCUCCUCCUCCCAAGUCUCUUCAAAAGUCAAGGCAUCUGGAACUUCCCUGGCGGUCCAGUGGUUAAGACUUUGCCUUCCAAUGCAGGGGGUGCGGGUUUGAUCCCCGGUUGGGGAGCUAAGAUCCGACAUGCCUUGCGGCCAAAAAACCAAAACAUAAAAACAGAAGCAAUAUUGCAACACAUUCAAUAAA